AUACCUUUCUUGGCCUUCUGGCUAAGAUCAAGUGUAGUAUCUGCACCCAUUAUGAGUUUCCGUCUAUUGAGAAUUCAAGGCUACAGACGUACAAUCCUACAGAACAUAUCGUGUUUAAGUAGAGAUCAUUGUAUUUCUGAAUGUUAUUUGUGUAAAAAUCUUUCUCCAUUUGUUAGAGGUCUAACGCCCACCUU
rfam:Spinacia oleracea cultivar SynViroflay scaffold3899.con0008.1, whole genome shotgun sequence.